UACGUAGACCUCAAGGCGUUAUCCGAAUUUAUUUGGGCGUAAAAGCGCAUGUAGGAGGGUUUUGUGCGUCUGCGGGUUAAAGCCCACUGCUCAACGGUGGAAGUGCCCGCGGGAUACGACAAGACUAGAGGAGGUUAGAGGGUGCAUAGAAACGCACGGUGUAGGGGUGAAAUCCGUUGAUAUCGUGCGGAAUACCAAAGGCGAAGGGCAGUGCACUGG
rnacentral:rRNA from 1 species